GGGCCCGCACAAGCGGUGGAGCAUGUGGUUUAAUUCGAUGCAACGCGAAAAACCUUACCUACCCUUGACUUCCUCGGAAGCUUUCAGAGAUGAGAGUGUACCUUCGGGAACCGAGUGACAGGUGCUGCAUGGCUGUCGUCAGCUCGUGUCGUGAGAUGUUGGUUAAGUCCCGUAACGAGCGCAACCCCUAUCUCUAGUUGCCAGCAAGUAAUGGUGGGAACUCUAAGGAGACUGCCGGUGACAAACCGGAGGAAGGUGGGGACGACGUCAAAUCAUCACGGCCCUUACGUUCUGGCUACACACGUGCUACAAUGGCCGGUACAGAAAGCAGCCACUAUGCGAAUAGGAGCU
rnacentral:rRNA from 1 species